rnacentral:lncRNA from 1 species
GAAUGCUAGUUAUUUGUCAGAUACAUGUUUUGCAAACCAUUUAUCUGUAUUUGGUUUCUUUUUGUUAUCUUAGCAGUGUAUCCUGAAGAAUAGUUUUAAAUUUUGAUGUAAUCCAAAAUAUUUCGGUUGUUUGUGUUCUUUGUUAUCCUGUCUAUUUUUGUUGUUGUUGUUUUAUAGAUAUGGGGGUCUCACUACGUUGCCCAGGCUGGUCUUGAUCUCCUGAACUCAAGUGAUCCUCCCACCUCAGCCUCCCAUCCUUGUCUACCUAAUUAGGCUUUGUGUAACUCAGUGUUGCAAAGCUUUGACAUCUGUUUGAGUUAAUGUUUAUAUAUGUUGUUACUUAAGGGUUUCACAUUAAAUUUAAACAUACUUAUAUUUUAUAACCAAACAAGUCAUGUUGGGGCAUACUCAUUAGGAUUGAGUGCUUUCUUACACCAAAAUACAUGUAUACAAAGAUUUAAAACACUUUCGGCCGGGCGCGGUAAUCCCAGCACUUUGGGAGGCCGAGGCGGGUGGAUCACAAGGUUAGGAGAUCAAGACCAUCUGGCUAACACGGUGAAACCCCGUCGCUACUAAAAAAAAUACAAAAAAUUAGCCGGGCGUGGUGGCAGGCGCCUGUAGUCCCAGCUACUCGGGAGGCUGAGACAGGAGAAUGGCAUGAACCCGGGAGGCAGAGCUUGCAGUGAGCCGAGAUCACCCCACUGCACUCCAGCCUGGGCGACAGAGUGAAGGCUAUGUCUCAAGAAAAAAAAAAAAAAACUUAUAAUAACAACUGUAAAUAGUUCAAUUGACAGUCAUUUGUAAGAUGUUUAAGUAAAUUGUGAAACAGUAAGUAAAUGGAAGAAAACACACUGAUUAAAACUGCUGCUUUUAUCCAACAAGAUGGAUGAAUUUCCCAGGAAAGAAUACUUGAGUUCAGGCCUGUUCAAGUCCCAACCUGUUUGUGGUUUGAGGUUGCUCUCUGCCUCAUAGAGCAAAGUGGAGAGUUUAUCUUCUGGGAGGACAGAGUUUUCUUCUCUGAAAAAGUUUCCUACAUAGUUGGCUUUGGCAUUUGCAAGGAAUGAAAGGUCAGGGAUUGAGGCCUCAUGAGUCUGGAUUUCUAGCUGAGGUUGAGAGAAAAGGUAGUGAUUGUAACCAGAAAAUCCAGAGUGGGUGUAUUUACCUCCAGAACUCAUCACUUAAAAAAAAAUUUUUUUCGAACUGACAUGCUUGAGGCUUUUUUUUUUUUUUUUUUUUUUUUUUUUUUGAGAUGGGGUCUUGCUCUAUCCCCCAGGCUGGAGUGCAGUUGUGCAGUCAUAGCUCACUGUAGCCUUAUCCUCCUGGCCUAAGCAGUCCUCCUGCCUCAACCUCCCUAGUAGCUGAGACCACAGGCGCAUGCCACCUGUGAGUUUCUAGAGACGAGGUCUCCCUAUGUUCCCCAGCCUGGUCUUGAACUCCUGGGCUCAAGUGAUCCUCCUGCCUCAGCCGUCCAAAGUGUUGGAUUACAGGCGUGAGCCACUGUGCCUGGCCAGAGCUCAUCACUGUUAACUCAGCCUGGGUUUUUCACAGCAGUCAUGGAAAUAGAUUCAUUAAUAAUAGUAACAAAUAUAUAGUCUCCCUCUCAAAGAAACCUUGAGUGGCAGUGGCAUACCAGAUACACAGUAGGAAAUACUGUAGAAUUAUGUUGUUAAGUUCAUAACCAAACAUCAUACAUGGUGAUAAAAGACAAGAUAAUGGUCACAUUUAUGCAGUAUUAACUGAGAGGGCAAAUUUGUGCCUGAGAAGCUAUUGGGAAUGUUCUCUCUCUUUGCAUUACUAGGAAUUACAUGGGAAACACAUGUAGACAGUCUUCAGGCUAUUAAGAUUUGUCCACUUAAUCUUUACUUAUACAUGAAUAAAAAAUGGGAAAACAUGAUAAAUAUAAUAAACUAAUACACUCAACCCUGCCCCUUGAUUAUAUAAUAGAACAAAAUCAGCAUGCCCGGCAUGAGCCUGCCAGAUUGCCAAUUCCAUCCUCCACCUUCAGAGGAUGCCGCCAUCCAGAAUUUUGCCUACUCAUUUUACUUUCUUCAUAGUUCGACACCUUAAAUGUAUAUUACUAAUAGUAGCUUUGCAUUUUUGGCUGAUUUAAAAAUUGAUAUAAAUGAAAUAAUGCUGUAGAGAUGCUUUUUGGUAUUAAGUGGAUAUACUGUUAUUCUUAAAGAUGUUUGAAAUGAAUAUACCUUUCUAACUAUCUUUUUAAAAUAAUACAUUAAAUGAUACUGCUUUAGAAUUCAUGAACUGCAUCUCAUGAGAAUAUGUAGAGAUGACGUGGGCAGGUAAAGUAAAACUUCAGGUUGAAUAUCCUAUGAUAAUUUUAAAAUGACAAAAUAGUGUGGUGAAUAAUAGAGCUUGAGCACUUUAAGGCACCAUAGGGACCCCUUCAAUGUAAUGAGGACAGUGCUGAGGUGCAGAGAAGUUAGGUAAUUAGCCCAAGCCACUACUCUAAGGGCAGACCCUAUCUACUUUUCCUAAUUUGUCAGAAGACUGCCUAUGAUACUACUAAUAAAAAGUCCUAUGAAAUUGGUAUUGUCAUUAUUUUACAAAUAAAAUAAUCUUCAAUUUUUGUUUCCUCUAUGUGUGGGUUACUUAGUAUUUUGUAAUUUGAAUUUCAAGCAUAAUUAAAAAGAAAUCAGGUAUCUAGGCUGGGCAUGGUGGCUCAAGCCUGUAAUCUCAACAUUUUGGGAGGCUGAGGCAAGAGGAUCACUUGAGGCCAGGAGUUUGAGGUAUCUUUUGUUGAUCUCUACACUGAUUGUAUUCUCUCUUUUAUUCUAUGAAAGUUAAAGAUUUUUUCUGAUACUACAUAUUGUCAGUUUUUUAAAUACUCAGUUUGUGCUAAAAGAAAACAUUCGGCAACGGAUAUCUGCUGUUCUGUAUGUAUCUGUCAGUCCAGAUUUGUCCAUUAUGGUGUAUGAAUCUAAUAGAACCUCACCAAUGUUAUACCUGCCUUCUUGAAAUCAUUACUGAGAUAGCUAAUAUUAAAAUAUCCUGGUUUGUCUGUAUAUUUAAUUCUUUACUCUCAUUAUACUAAAUUUUUUUAAAUGUAAUUUGAAUUGAUGGUAAAAAUUGUAUACAGGCCGGGUGCAGUGGCUCACUCCUAUAAUCCCAGCAUUUUGGAAGUCCUAUGCAGGAGGAUUGCCAGAGGCCAGGAAUUUGAGAUCAGCCUGGGCAACAUAGUGGAACUCUCAUCUUUAUAAAAAGUAAUAUUAAAAUUUUUUAAAGUGUAUAAACUGUAAAGUAUAUUUUACUGGUGUUUUCUUCCUUAUUCCUACUUGUCAGAUGCAAAUACACAUUUUUGUGUGUUUGUGUUUAGUAAUUAUAAGUAUACAUAUUUCAUUCUUCUAUUUCAUAUAUUUCUAUGACAUUAUAUCUUAGAUGUGUAAUUUAUGAACUACUACUGGAUUAUUUUAAUCCAUUAGAAAUUACUAUUCACACAUUCUGUAUUCAAUUCAUGUGAUAGCUAAUAUAUUUGGUUUUAAAUGCAUCUUAUUUUGUGGUUUUCUUCUAGGCUGUUUUUUGUGCUUUCUUUUAAAAAUAUAUAGGUUUUAAUAUUCUUAAUUUUCUUUUAGUUUGAAAUGUAUAUACUCAUUUUAUUCAUUAGUCUAAGAUAAGAAUUGUAACACUUCUCUAACCUAUUAUAGAAUUGUUAAUACCUUUACCCUUCUCUUGAACACAUCAAAGGAUGUCAUUGAGUGUUGGUAUUGGAGUAUAGCAUAUCUAUUAUUCUGCUCAAUUAGAAGAUAUUGUUCAUGUUGUGUAGAGAUAAUAAGUAAUUGUAUUGAUCUGCAGAUGCAUCCAUCUCUUGGAUUCUCAUUCCUUCUACCACUGCAGAACUUUCACCUGUAAUCACUUUCCUUUGGCCUUAAGGAUAACUUUUAGGGUUACUUUUCUACUAAAUUUCCAAUUUUUGACCAGAUAUAAUCUUAUAUUGUGCUCUUCCUGAAAAAUACUGUUGUUGUGGAUAGAAAUCUGGGUUGGUAGUUAUUUCUUCAGCAAUUUGACCAUGUCAUUCCACUGUGUCCCUGGCCUCCUGUAUACUGGAUGUGAAUGGAUACAAUUAUAUAUUGUGUUUAUAGUUUUCCUGUGCUAUAGGAACAGUAUUCGAAUCUGAUGCAAAGGACAACACACCCUAGAGAUUGUAACAGUGAGAUGAACCAAGUGAUUGGAUGGGGUUUUGAGUUGCUGGAAUAAUGGAGUUACAGUGUACAAUGCAUAAGCAACAUAAUAAAUUAUAUAUCUGGUGAACAAAUGGA